GCUCCGUAGGUGAACCUGCGGAGGGAUCAUUACAGGGUUCAUGCCCUAACGGGUAGAUCUCCCACCCUAUGUUAUCAUCACUUUGUUGCUUUGGCGGGCCGUCAGGCCUCGGCUUGGCUACCGGCUCUCGCUGGUAAGCGCCCGCCAGAGAACCCCAAACCCUGAAUAUCAGUGUCGUCUGAGUACUAUAUAAUAGUUAAAACUUUCAACAACGGAUCUCUUGGUUCUG
rnacentral:misc_RNA from 1 species